AAUUGGGUGAACACAGCUACCAUUUUUGGGCGCCUUCCUUCUCGGAGUUAAUCGCCGUUCCCCAUAAUCUCUCUCAGGCUCUCAGGUUAUCGAUUCCCCGGCUCUUCUCUGUAUUUUAUUUUCCUUUUCUCAUUCUUCAUGCUCGCGUUCUGAUUUGAGUCUCAACCAUCUGAGCUCAGCGGAUUAACGCUUCAUUGAAGGCUGGCUUUUAAGAUUACUCAAGGGAGGACGGAUAAAGAGAACCAGUGCGUGCAAAAAUCUUCUGAAUUCAUAUUUUUGGGAGAUCAGCUGCUGCAAGCUAAGUAUUUGAUACCUAAAAGAAAAACAUGGCAGUAAAACCAACUGUUGCGUUGCGAGCUGUACUUGUUGGAGGAAUUGCAGCGUUUGCUAAAAUUGCUGGUGCGAUGAAAGCUGCAGGUGGUGCAAAGAUAGGUGCAGCCACAGCUGCCAUGACAGCAGCAGCAACUGCAGCUUUGGCAGGAGGAUCAAAACAGGAGCAGAAGGAUGAUUCUAAACAACACUCUCCACAAUGAAACCUUCUCCACUUUCUCAAAUCUCUGUUCACUCAAACAAACAAAUCCCAAUAAUGUUUUGGUACGUUUUCUCUUCCUUCUUUUCUUUUUCCUCUUUAUAAUGACCCCCAACCCAACCAGCCUUAAGUCAUGAUGCUCAAAUUAACCUGUGAGCUAUUUUAUGUCACAAUGUCGUAUUGUUCUUCGACGUUUAAUAACAUGAAACAAUUUUGAACA